rnacentral:ncRNA from 2 species
AAUUAAGGCUAGGGGUGCCCCCGUUACACGGGGCUGAGAAAUACCCUUCGAACCUGAUCCGGUUGAUACCGGCGUAGGAAAGCUGCCUCGUCACGAG